rnacentral:rRNA from 1 species
UGGGGAAUAUUGCGCAAUGGGCGGAAGCCUGACGCAGCGACGCCGCGUGAGGGAUGACGGCCUUCGGGUUGUAAACCUCUUUCAGCUCCGACGAAUUUGACGGUAGGAGUAGAAGAAGCACCGGCCAACUACGUGCCAGCAGCCGCGGUAAUACGUAGGGUGCGAGCGUUGUCCGGAAUUAUUGGGCGUAAAGAGCUCGUAGGCGGUCUGUCGCGUCGAAUGUGAAAACCCGGGGCUCAACUCCGGGCUUGCAUUCGAUACGGGCAGGCUAGAGUUCGGUAGGGGAGUCUGGAAUUCCUGGUGUAGCGGUGAAAUGCGCAGAUAUCAGGAGGAACACCGGUGGCGAAGGCGGGACUCUGGGCCGAUACUGACGCUGAGGAGCGAAAGCGUGGGGAGCGAACA